UACGUAGGGUGCGAGCGUUAAUCGGAAUUACUGGGCGUAAAGCGUGCGCAGGCGGUUCGUUGUGUCCGAUGUGAAAGCCCCGGGCUUAACCUGGGAAUGGCAUUGGAAACUGGCGAGCUUGAGUGCGGCAGAGGGGGGUGGAAUUCCCGGUGUAGCGGUGAAAUGCGCAGAUAUCGGGAGGAACACCGGUGGCGAAGGCGGUUCUCUGGGCCUUACCUGACGCUGAGGAGCGAAAGCGUGGGGAGCGAACAGG
rnacentral:rRNA from 1 species